rnacentral:misc_RNA from 1 species
AACGCACGAGACCUGCGGACCUGCGGAAGGAUCAUCAAAGAAUCUUUUAAAGAAAAAUGAGUUGCCCUAAAAAAGCACUUGUUUUUCUUCAAACAAACGAUCACAACUAUUGAAAAAAGGAUAAUCAAAAUUUGGUUGGGAAAUUGACUUGGAAUUAAAAUUAAACAAGUGUUUGCCUGAUAAUCUAAUGACUUGGAAACAAGAGAGAAAGAAAAAAAUACAACUUUUAGCAACGGAUCU